rnacentral:rRNA from 1 species
GGGUGCUUACCUGCAAGUCGAACGAUGAUGCCCAGCUUGCUGGGCGGAUUAGUGGCGAACGGGUGAGUAAUACGUGAGUAACCUGCCCUUGACUCUGGGAUAAGCCUGGGAAACUGGGUCUAAUACUGGAUACUACCUCUUACCGCAUGGUGGGUGGUGGAAAGGGUUUUACUGGUUUUGGAUGGGCUCACGGCCUAUCAGCUUGUUGGUGGGGUAAUGGCUCACCAAGGCGACGACGGGUAGCCGGCCUGAGAGGGUGACCGGCCACACUGGGACUGAGACACGGCCCAGACUCCUACGGGAGGCAGCAGUGGGGAAUAUUGCACAAUGGGCGGAAGCCUGAUGCAGCGACGCCGCGUGAGGGAUGACGGCCUUCGGGUUGUAAACCUCUUUCAGUAGGGAAGAAGCGAGAGUGACGGUACCUGCAGAAGAAGCGCCGGCUAACUACGUGCCAGCAGCCGCGGUAAUACGUAGGGCGCAAGCGUUGUCCGGAAUUAUUGGGCGUAAAGAGCUCGUAGGCGGUUUGUCGCGUCUGCUGUGAAAGCCCGGGGCUCAACCCCGGGUCUGCAGUGGGUACGGGCAGACUAGAGUGCAGUAGGGGAGACUGGAAUUCCUGGUGUAGCGUGAAAUG